AUUGAACGCUGGCGGCAGGCCUAACACAUGCAAGUCGAGCGGGUGAAGGGAGCUUGCUCCUGGAUUCAGCGGCGGACGGGUGAGUAAUGCCUAGGAAUCUGCCUGGUAGUGGGGGAUAACGUCCGGAAACGGGCGCUAAUACCGCAUACGUCCUGAGGGAGAAAGUGGGGGAUCUUCGGACCCCACGCUAUCAGAUGAGCCUAGGUCGGAUUAGCUAGUUGGUGGGGUAAAGGCCUACCAAGGCGACGAUCCGUAACUGGUCUGAGAGGAUGAUCAGUCACACUGGAACUGAGACACGGUCCAGACUCCUACGGGAGGCAGCAGUGGGGAAUAUUGGACAAUGGGCGAAAGCCUGAUCCAGCCAUGCCGCGUGUGUGAAGAAGGUCUUCGGAUUGUAAAGCACUUUAAGUUGGGAGGAAGGGCAGUAAGUUAAUACCUUGCUGUUUUGACGUUACCAACAGAAUAAGCACCGGCUAACUUCGUG
rnacentral:rRNA from 1 species